rnacentral:tRNA from 1 species
GACGCGGUGACCGAGUGGUUAAGGUGUUCGCCUGCUAAGUGAAUGGGCAAUGCCCGCGCGAGUUCGAAUCUCGUCCGCGUCG